rnacentral:rRNA from 1 species
AGAGCGAACGCUGGCGGCAGGCCUAAUACAUGCAAGUCGAACGGAUCCUUCGGGAUUAGUGGCGGACGGGUGAGUAACACGUGGGAACGUGCCCUUUGGUUCGGAACAACUCAGGGAAACUUGAGCUAAUACCGAAUGUGCCCUUCGGGGGAAAGAUUUAUCGCCAUUGGAGCGGCCCGCGUCUGAUUAGCUAGUUGGUGGGGUAAAGGCCCACCAAGGCGACGAUCAGUAGCUGGUCUGAGAGGAUGAUCAGCCACACUGGGACUGAGACACGGCCCAGACUCCUACGGGAGGCAGCAGUAGGGAAUCUUGCGCAAUGGGCGAAAGCCUGACGCAGCCAUGCCGCGUGAAUGAUGAAGGUCUUAGGAUUGUAAAAUUCUUUCAGCGGGGACGAUAAUGACGGUACCCGCAGAAGAACGCCCGGCUAACUUCGCGCCAGCAGCCGC